rnacentral:lncRNA from 1 species
AGCCCCGCACCCCCAGCCCCAGCCCCGCGUGCAGCUCGCACCCCUUCCCACGCCUGUUCGGGGGAGAGCCCCGGGCCUGGAGUGGGAAGCCUGGCUCCAGCUCUGGUUACCUGCAGUGACUCCCCAGGCCGUUUAGGCGAGUCCAUUGGGCCGCCUCUGCCUCGGUUUCCCCACCUAACCACGGAAGGUGCUCCUCCCUUCCAGGCAUCUGUGGUCUUCGAGCUCCACGCGGGAGAGGCGCCGGUCUGGCACCUCCUGCCCAGGGUCGGCGCCUCCUGGCUCUCGGGGAGGGGGGCAUCCUCCAUCCCCUGCACCUGCCUCGAGAGGAACCAGGGACAGAGCACCCCCACCCCCACCAGGAGCUCCGGAAAAACGGCUUCAGAAGAGCAAAUAUACACACACACCCACCUCCCGCCCCAAACAUCCCCGAAGAAAGGUAACCACAGAAACAGCCAGAAAUGUGGAGCUGGGCGAUCGUAUGAGGCUGAGACAAAACUGUCUUUCUAGCGUCUCUAGGGGAGAGCUUGAAUCCCUCCUUCCACUCCUCCUCCACGGAAAACAGAGUGAACUCCUGCUACAGAGGCCGCCAGAGCAACAUGCAAGACCAGCUUUGAGGGGAGCGGGCACAGGGCCUUGCAGGGAAGGUGGGCCGAGCCCAGACCCCUCAUUCUUACUUGGCUCUGAAGGCGGAAAGGCAAAGCUAGACCUCGAGGAAGUUCCCCUCCCUGUGGGCCCUACAGUGAAGAUUACAUGAAGGCAUGUGGGCGGUGGACCAGAGUGCACCGACUGAUGAAGGCGGCCCGGUACCCGCGGGUGCCAUGCCUCCUUCUUAGCCAAGGCCACUCUAGCUCCCCGUGAAGUAUCCAGGUAGAAGGCUGGUGGGGUUACAGGUGAGAAGCCGUCGGUGGGGUCCAGGAGCCAGGCCUGGGGAAGCACACGUCACUUCCACCCACAUCCAUGGGCCAGAAGUAGUCGCACAGUCCCACCAGGAUGCAAGGGGCUCUGGCAGCUGUGGUCUUCAUGAGUGUUUCGGAAGUAAACAAAGCCGGUUUGAUGAACACGUAGAAACAUCCCUGCCACAGAAACUGAGCAGAUUUCUCCCAAGCACACACAGGGCAAAGGGGCAAAGUCUGUCCACAGACUCACAGGAAGGGAGGUGCAUGGCAGACACAGGCAGGAGGUGGGGUUGGGGUGGAAAAGUUCAGGGAGGGCUCAAAAGCAGACCAAGGCCUGUUUCUGAAACCCAGCCCACUCACUGGUUCCUCCACACUUGGCCCAUGCUGUUCCUCUCCCAUGUGACUUUUCCAUCUUCCCCCUCCAACCUGUCACCCAUCCAUCCUUCAAAACUUAGGUCAGUUAGCUCUCACCUAGCCCUCAGCAGCUUAGCCCGCAGAUGCUUCCUCUGUUUCUGAACUUCUAGAGAAACACACUUAACCGCAGACCUCUUAUUCCAGGAGUGUAUCUCUCUCAGAUGAGAUACAAGUUGGUCCCUUCCCUUGCGUCCCUCCUGUUCCUUCAAGAGGAGGACUGUCUACCCACCCCGAAGCUUCAUGGAGAGAGAGCACACCGUCGUUAUUCAAUAUGUAGUUUUGAAUUUAACUAGAGCAAAGAAGAAAGCAAAUUCAGGUGGAAGGAAGAAGAAAAGGGAAAAGGGCUGUCCCCAUCC